rnacentral:lncRNA from 1 species
GCGCGCGCCACGCACGCAUCGCACACGUUGCGGGCGCGCGCGUCGCCCGGCAGGCCGUCGUCACAGAUCCACUGACGCACGCGCCGGCGUUCCGAAUGGCCGCAGGCGUCGCACCAGGCCAGCAGCGGGUCGACCCACAGCGCAUCCCACGACGACGACUUGCGCUCCCAGCGGUCGAUGGCGCCGUCCAUGGCCGCACGCGCGGCGCUCCAUACCGCGGCGAUGCGACGCAUGGCCAGGGCGCGCAACGCGCUACACACGGCGCCCAACACGGCGGUCGCGCGUCGAUCACACAUGGCCAUGAUGUGGUCCCAGAUCUCGGGCGGCAACACGGGCGCCGCAUCCAUCGACGGUGGGCGUGCGUCGUCAACGGGACGCGGCGCGCGUGGAGGGUCUGCCCUCUGAUGCAAAAUCAAGAGAGAGAGAGAGAGAGCCCGACGAGCGGGCACGAAAAGAGACUGCCCGGAGCAAAAGACGACCAGCGAGGGCACAAAGAGGGCGCAAAAAAACGCAAAUUAAAAUAAAAAACAAAAAAAGAAGAAAAAGGGGGGCAAAACCACGCCACAAAGAGGCGCCUGCCGUCACCAGCCCUUUUUCCCCC